rnacentral:rRNA from 1 species
AUACGGAGGUGGCAAGCGUUACUCGGAAUUAUUGGGUGUAAAGGGCAAGUAGGUGGUUUGUUAAGUGAGGGGUGAAAUCUUCCGGCUCAAUCGGAAAAUUGCCUUUCAAACUGACAGACUUGAGGUAGGAAGAGGGAAAUGGAAUUCCCGGUGUAAGGGUGAAAUCUGUAGAUAUCGGGAAGAACACCAGCGGCGAAGGCGAUUUCCUGGUCCUAUCCUGACGCUAAAUUGCGAAAGCUAGGGGAGCAAACAGAAUUAGAAACCCCAGUAGUCC